GAUGAACGCUGGCGGCGUGCCUAAUACAUGCAAGUCGAGCGAACGGACGAGAAGCUUGCUUCUCUGAUGUUAGCGGCGGACGGGUGAGUAACACGUGGAUAACCUACCUAUAAGACUGGGAUAACUUCGGGAAACCGGAGCUAAUACCGGAUAAUAUUUUGAACCGCAUGGUUCAAAAGUGAAAGACGGUCUUGCUGUCACUUAUAGAUGGAUCCGCGCUGCAUUAGCUAGUUGGUAAGGUAACGGCUUACCAAGGCUACGAUGCAUAGCCGACCUGAGAGGGUGAUCGGCCACACUGGAACUGAGACACGGUCCAGACUCCUACGGGAGGCAGCAGUAGGGAAUCUUCCGCAAUGGGCGAAAGCCUGACGGAGCAACGCCGCGUGAGUGAUGAAGGUCUUCGGAUCGUAAAACUCUGUUAUUAGGGAAGAACAUAUGUGUAAGUAACUGUGCACAUCUUGACGGUACCUAAACAGAAAGCCACGGCUAACUACGUG
rnacentral:rRNA from 1 species